GCCGCGGUAGCUCAGUUGGGAGAGCGUUAGACUGAAGCCGGUUUCUACAUACCCGCACAUCUACAGGUCACCCGUUCAAGCCGGGUUCGUGGCA